CACCACCACUAGCACCCGAGCUCCAUCCAACCGAUGGAUCCUUGCCACGGCGAUGCCCCUGUGGCCCUGGAUGACUACUUAACCAUCCCCAUCACCCCGGAGAUGAACCCUAGCAUCCAUUCCCUCCCUUCUCGAGCCGCUCUUCGCAUACGCGCGCAUAGCCAUCGUCGUGUCGUUGCCAAUGCUGUGGUCUGGAGCCACCCCGCGCAACACCUUGGUGUCCAGAAGCUCCGGCGUGGUCGUCUUCGUCAUCAUUGCCCCUGGAUCGAGGCUGGGGAGACUCCAAACGUCGCCAUCGACUCGCUCCCCACCGCCACGGCCCCGUCGACCUUCGCCGUCGGAUUCGCCCAGCUCCGUCCACGCCUCGACUCGCUGAGCUGCUCGUCGGGACCACUGAUCCAUACGCCACCUUCGACAACGACUGUUACUACACUGAGGGUGCCUACUACUACGUGGAGGCCACCGACGACCAGGAGUAGUUAGGAGGCUCCCAGGCAGGAGGCCUUGCCUUUUUGAUCGAUGUUGCUUUUGUGCUAGCCUUCUUAAGGCAAACUUGUUUAACUCAUGUCUGUACUUAGAUAAUGUUGCUUCCGCUCACUCGUUUGUUUUCGAGCUUACAUAUUCGAGCCGUCGAGGCCCUUGGCUUGUAAUAUAAAGCUUGUAUUAUUUUAAUUUGUGUUGUGAUA